GCAGUGGUGGUUCAGUGGUGGAAUUCUUGCCUUCCAUAUGGAAAACCUGGGUUUGAUUCCCAGCUAAUGUA
rnacentral:tRNA from 1 species